AGCGUUGUCCGGAUUUAUUGGGCGUAAAGCGCGCGCAGGCGGUCUUUUAAGUCUGAUGUGAAAGCCCCCGGCUUAACCGGGGAGGGUCAGUGGAAACUGGAAGACUGGAGUGCAGAAGAGGAGAGUGGAAUUCCACGUGUAGCGGUGAAAUGCGUAGAUAUGUGGAGGAACACCAGUGGCGAAGGCGACUCUCUGGUCUGUAACUGACGC
rnacentral:rRNA from 1 species